rnacentral:tRNA from 1 species
GGAGAGGUGCGAGAGCGGCCGAAUCGGGCUCCCUGCUAAGGAGUUGUACUCGUGAGGGUACCGUGGGUUCGAAUCCCACCCUCUCCG